GGUCAGUAAUUGCCUACUGGGAACUAUAAAUUAUAGUUCUCAUGCCCCCUAUUUUAUGUUUUCUUUCAGAGCCUUCCUGUAGCAUACCGGAUUUUAAAAUAAGGGUAAAAAUAAAAAUAGUGUGAGAUACUAUUUUUAUUGGACUUAUAGAAAUAAAAUAUAAGUCAGGAUCAACUCGUGCGGAAAUCGGAGCGAGAAUAGAAGAUUUUGAAUUUUCUGUGUGAAUCGAGGCUGUUAUUUUAGCAAAAUAUGCAAAGUGUCAGAAAAUUCCGAAAAUCUGAAAAAAUUUUAGGAUUAUUUUUAUGAGGCUAGAUUUAAAG
rnacentral:lncRNA from 1 species